UGCACCUGAGGACCGAACAUCUGAACUUCUGUCUCGAUGAGUCAUAAGCCUCACUCCAUUAUCAGCCUAACGGAGCUAGAAAGUGACCAGCAGGCUACAGCUAUCUUGGUGUCCUAUCUGCUUCUGGGGAAGGUGGGAAUGAGGCUAUUCUCAGUUGCCUGCCUUGCCCUGGUUCUCCUUGGGCUGAGCCGUUAGAUAGGAUGGCGUCUGCAGAGAUAGGGGGAAAGAGGCAGCUCCACAGACAGCUGGUAAUGAUGUCCUCUCACACACUGCACCCUGUGGAUAAUGGCUGUGUCGAGGCCUGGCGCACAGAGCGAGAUGAAGCAGAAUAGCCGGCAUAACCGAGUCCAGGGUGCAAUUGAGUGAACUGCCUUGUCUAGUCGUCUUGCUCCGAUUCUAGGCUACCGUGGUGAGGAGCAGAGCCACAGUGUCAGCUGCUUCAUGGAUGAGGACAUCAUGGAGGCCCAAGAGCCAGAUAGCUCAAUUACACAGUACUGCUAUUCUGUAUUACUAACGACAGAUUGACUGGUCGGAUGGAGAUAUUUAAAGGCCCGGCAGUGGACGGUGCUGACCUGCUAGGCAGAAGAGAGGAGGAGAAGGGGAGUGGAAAAGCCAAUUAAAGGAAAGAUCACUUGUGUGUCUGCUGGAGUGUCUCUGAGAGCCUCUCACGGUUAACCUUUCCUGCUGGAGAGUGAGAAAACGAGAGAGGAACGAGGGAGAGGACGCAGAGGAAAAACCAGCCAGGGAGAUCAGGCGUUUCGACUUUAAUGGUCCCUCAGUGUUAGAGUGAAGCUGGUUAAUUUGCCUUUCCUUUUUCUGGGUGCUGCAGGGUUUAGCUUUCUGUCAGGCCAUUGUUGUAUGAGGAACUUGUGCAGGAAUAAUAGAGGCAACACAGAUGUCAGAUGUUGCAUGUGUGUGCUGCUGAGGAAAGCGUGUGUUGGCGUGGUUAGCCGUUUUCAGAUUCUGCUGUGGGUCAAUUUUACACACGGUCCUUGUGUCAGAAGUAAAUUAUAUAAACUCUUCAUGAGCUACUGUUGUCUUGCUGAGGGUGUGUUAGAAAGCAGAAGUGCUUAGCGUUUGAGUUCUUACUAUUAAGCACUUGUGAUUGCGAGUCCAAAUGCAUGCUAUGCAUCACAGCGGCAGAGGACAACACAAAUUGGGGUUAAAUUAAUGGGGGGAGCAUUGUGUGUAUGCGUGCGAGUGCGGGGUGGGAGGGGCGGA